rnacentral:ncRNA from 1 species
UAAGAAAGAGGUUGCAUCAAUCAAUAGUAAUUAGUUGGAGAUCGAAAGUCAAUGAAGAUUAAUGAAAGGGAAAGAUGCCGAAGUGGAUUGUCAAAAAAUCUGCUGGGGAUAUGUUGAACAAGCAUAUAACUGUCUUUGUG